UACGUAGGGCGCAAGCGUUUGUCCGGAAUUAUUGGGCGUAAAGAGCUCGUAGGUGGCUUGUCGCGUCUGCCGUGAAAGCCCAUGGCUUAACUGUGGGUCUGCGGUGGAUACGGGCUGGCUAGAGGUAGGUAGGGGCAAUCGGAAUUCUUGGUGUAGCGGUGAAAUGCGCAGAUAUCAGGAGGAACGCCGGCGGCGAAAGCGACUCUCUGGUCGGAUCCUGACGCUGAGGUGCGAAAGCUAGGGGAGCAAACGGG
rnacentral:rRNA from 1 species